rnacentral:lncRNA from 1 species
CGAACGUAUGAACCUGUCAUAAUACCGAAUUGGUUGCCGGACCCUUUAUCAUACAAAAUGGCUGCAUUCCGCUUCCUUUUCCGAAGAGCCAUUUUAUACAAUAAUAACCAAGUAGAACUAAAAUUAGAAUUUGAAUAUAUCUUCAAAACGGGUCACCAACACGGUUACCCUAGGCAAGUAUUAGAAAAAAUCCUCCAGAAAACUAAGCAAACAAUUGAGAAUGCUGAUAACCUGUGCGCCCACGAAGAACAAUACGAGACCAUACCCUAUGCAAUGAGGAGCUCCAACCUUAUUAAAAAAAUAGCACAAAAAAAUUAAUAAAAAGAUCACAUACAAACGAUUUCCAACCAUUUACAACCAACUCCGCAAUGACAAAAAUAAAAUCCAUCCUAAUUACAAGUCAGGUGUGUAUAGAAUACCGAUUGAAAAUCACACCACA